rnacentral:tRNA from 1 species
GUUUUGGUGGCCCAGUUAUUUAAGGCAUCGGUCUUGUAAACCGAAGGUCGGAGGUGAGAUUCCUCCCCAAAAC